rnacentral:rRNA from 1 species
UACGAAGGGGACUAGCGUUGUUCGGAAUCACUGGGCGUAAAGCGCACGUAGGCGGAUGUGUCAGUCAGGGGUGAAAUCCCGGGGCUCAACCUCGGAACUGCCUUUGAUACAGCACGUCUCGAGUCCGGAAGAGGUGGGUGGAAUUCCUAGUGUAGAGGUGAAAUUCGUAGAUAUUAGGAAGAACACGGUGGCGAAGGCGGCCCACUGGUCCGGUACUGACGCUGAGGUGCGAAAGCGUGGGGAGCAAACAGGAUUAGAAACCCUUG